rnacentral:rRNA from 1 species
GCNACCCCAGGUCAGGCGGNAUUACCCGCUGAGUUUAAGCAUAUC